rnacentral:misc_RNA from 1 species
AGCAGCCGCGGUAAUUCCAGCUCCAAUAGCGUAUAUUAAAGUUGUUGCAGUUAAAAAGCUCGUAGUUGAAUUUCGGGACCAAUUUGUUGGUCGUGCCUCGGUACGUACUGGUAUUAUUGGUUUCUCCCUUCUGAAGAACCUCGAUGCCAUUAAUUUGGUGUCGUGGGGAAUCAGGACUGUUACUUUGAAAAAUUAGAGUGUUUAAAGCAAGCAUACGCUUGAAUACAUUAGCAUGGAAUAAUGAAAUAGGACGUUUGAUUCUAUUUUGUUGGUUUUUAGGAUCGACGUAAUGAUUAAUAGGGAUAGUUGGGGGCAUUAGUAUUCAAUUGUCAGAGGUGAAAUUCUUGGAUUUAUUGAAGACUAACUACUGCGAAAGCAUUUGCCAAGGAUGUUUUCAUUAAUCAAGAACGAAAGUUAGGGGAUCGAAGACGAUCAGAUACCGUCGUAGUCUUAACCAUAAACUAUGCCGACUAGGGAUCGGAUGAUGUUAAUUUUUUAAUGUACUCAUUCGGCGCCUUAC